CGGGAUGUGGCGCAGCUUGGUAGCGCAUCCGCUUUGGGAGCGGAGGGUCGCAGGUUCGAAUCCUGUCAUCCCGACGA
rnacentral:tRNA from 1 species